CAGGUGGUCAGGUAGAGAAUACCAAGGCGCUUGAGAGAACUCGGGUGAAGGAACUAGGCAAAAUGGUGCCGUAACUUCGGGAGAAGGCACGCUGAUAUGUAGGUGAAGCGGUUUACCCGUGGAGCUGAAAUCAGUCGAAGAUACCAGCUGGCUGCAACUGUUUAUUAAAAACACAGCACUGUGCAAACACGAAAGUGGACGUAUACGGUGUGACGCCUGCCCGGUGCCGGAAGGUUAAUUGAUGGGGUCAGCGCAAGCGAAGCUCCUGAUCGAAGCCCCGGUAAACGGCGGCCGUAACUAUAACGGUCCUAAGGUAGCGAAAUUCCUUGUCGGGUAAGUUCCGACCUGCACGAAUGGCGUAAUGAUGGCCAGGCUGUCUCCACCCGAGACUCAGUGAAAUUGAACUCGCUGUGAAGAUGCAGUGUACCCGCGGCAAGACGGAAAGACCCCGUGAACCUUUACUAUAGCUUGACACUGAACAUUGAGCCUUGAUGUGUAGGAUAGGUGGGAGGCUUUGAAGUGUGGACGCCAGUCUGCAUGGAGCCGACCUUGAAAUACCACCCUUUAAUGUUUGAUGUUCUAACGUGGACCCGUUACCCGGGUUGCGGACAGUGUCUGGUGGGUAGUUUGACUGGGGCGGUCUCCUCCUAAAGAGUAACGGAGGAGCACGAAGGUUGGCUAAUCCUGGUCGGACAUCAGGAGGUUAGUGCAAUGGCAUAAGCCAGCUUGACUGCGAGCGUGACGGCGCGAGCAGGUGCGAAAGCAGGUCAUAGUGAUCCGGUGGUUCUGAAUGGAAGGGCCAUCGCUCAACGGAUAAAAGGUACUCCGGGGAUAACAGGCUGAUACCGCCCAAGAGUUCAUAUCGACGGCGGUGUUUGGCACCUCGAUGUCGGCUCAUCACAUCCUGGGGCUGAAGUAGGUCCCAAGGGUAUGGCUGUUCGCCAUUUAAAGUGGUACGCGAGCUGGGUUUAGAACGUCGUGAGACAGUUCGGUCCCUAUCUGCCGUGGGCGCUGGAGAACUGAGGGGGGCUGCUCCUAGUACGAGAGGACCGGAGUGGACGCAUCACUGGUGUUCGGGUUGUCAUGCCAAUGGCACUGCCCGGUAGCUAAAUGCGGAAGAGAUAAGUGCUGAAAGCAUCUAAGCACGAAACUUGCCCCGAGAUGAGUUCUCCCUGAGACUUUAGGUCUCCUGAAGGAACGUUGAAGACGACGACGUUGAUAGGCCGGGUGUGUAAGCGCAGCGAUGCGUUGAGCUAACCGGUACUAAUGAACCGUGAGGCUUAACCUU
rnacentral:rRNA from 1 species